rnacentral:rRNA from 1 species
UGUCAGCCGCCGCGGUAAUACAGAGGGUGCAAGCGUUAAUCGGAAUUACUGGGCGUAAAGCGCACGUAGGCGGUUUUUUAAGUCAGAUGUGAAAGCCCCGGGCUCAACCUGGGAAUUGCAUUUGAAACUGGAAAACUAGAGUGUGUGAGAGGGGGGUAGAAUUCCAAGUGUAGCGGUGAAAUGCGUAGAGAUUUGGAGGAAUACCAGUGGCGAAGGCGGCCCCCUGGCACAACACUGACGCUCAGGUGCGAAAGCGUGGGGAGCAAACAGGAUUAGAUACCCUGGUAGUCCACGCCGUAAACGAUGUCUACUAGCUGUUCGUGGUCUUGUACCGUGAGUAGCGCAGCUAACGCAUUAAGUAGACCGCCUGGGGAGUACGGUCGCAAGAUUAAAACUCAAAGAAAUUGGCGG